GUGUAAAAUCAAACAAGUGUUCGGUAAACAGGAAGUUGUUGAGUGAUGAAUCUGAAAACGCAUCAAGUUCCAAGUAUAGCUGACUUAUAUCAAGCCUGAAACCAAAUUUCAGAAAUCCUGGUAGUGUAGUUCCUGACAAAAAAUGUGACGAAAAAUAUUCAUGGGACGGACGGACUGACUGACAGACUGACGGACGGAUGGACUGACGGACUGACGGACAGAGGUAAAACAGUAUACCCCCCUUUUUUCAAAGCGGGGGUAUAAUUAAAUAUCUUACAAUGCAAAGCUAGUUGUUUGCGAUGUGCGAUGAUGCGUAGCUGCAUGGUAGAUUACCACGUGAAUUAGAUCAUUUUGAUUAUCUUUGAAUUCACCACAGUCGCUUGAAUUUUAGUG
rnacentral:lncRNA from 1 species